rnacentral:sRNA from 1 species
UCACGGCUGGCAUCCUUCGGGGUAUACACGCCNUNUGACAUGNAAUUAUUCACCCGUGUCUUUUGCGUGCUUCUUGUUUCCUUGGUGGGUUCGCCCACCAUAGGACAAACCAUAAACCUUUUGUAAUUGCAAUCAGCGUCAGUAAAAAAAUUAAUAAUUACAACUUUUAACAACGGAUCUCUUGGUUCUGGCAUCGAUGAAGAACGCAGCGAAAUGCGAUAAGUAGUGUGAAUUGCAGAAUUCAGUGAAUCAUCGAAUCUUUGAACGCACAUUGCGCCCUUUGGUAUUCCAAAGGGCAUGCCUGUUCGAGCGUCAUUUGUACCCUCAAGCUUUGCUUGUUGUUGGGCGUCUUGUCUCCAGUUCGCUGGAGACUCGCCUUAAAGUAAUUGGCAGCCGGCCUACUGGUUGCGGAGCGCAGCACAAGUCGCGCUCUCUUNCAGCCAAGGUCAGCAUCCACAAAGCCUUUUUUCAACUUUUGACCUCGGAUCAGGUAGGGAUACCCGCUGAACUUAAGCAUAUCAAUAAGCGGAGGAAA